UCACGAUACGACAUUGCAUUUCUGAAGAGGGAAGAAGAAAUCAACAUGCAAAUUCAAUUCCAUGGUUUUGGAAGUCCCAUUGAGAACACGAUUCAUUUGCGCCAGCAUAAUGCUCUGACCGAGAAAGAAUUGAAGUUUCCACUUGGAAGAAAGAUUCACAUCAAGUUGACUGGUCAAGGAAAUGGGACACUGACUAACCAUACAAUUAGACUGUUUUGAUGAGGAACUUAAAGAUCACGAGUCCCGUCCGUUUGACUCACAGUUUGGUACCAUAGGUUGAUACGAUCUUCGUUGGAGAAGGAAAAGGGAUGUUCCAGAUACAGAAAAUAGUCAAACCAUUUACUACAAAGUCCGUUUCUGGGUGGAGUUAGUGGAACCGAAAAAGAUGUCUCCCUCACAGCGUUUGUGACACAAGAAUUGCAUCGUUCCUUGGCGGCCUUUCAACAGAAGAAUAUUCAGAGAUUUCACGAGUGAUAAGAAUAUUCUGAUGUUGGUUCCUGGAAAGCCUCCAUUGUUGGAGGACGAGAAGCCGUAUCCAAUUGAAGCAGCAUAGGCUUUUGCGAUGACUGUGGAAACCACUGCUUAUGCCUUGCUUCAAGCAUUGUCAAGGAAUGAUAUUGACUAUGCAACACCGAUUGCGAGGUGGCUAA